GAUCUCGUCGUUCAACGGAUAGGACACUCCCCUGCGAAGGGAGAAAUGCAGGUUCGAUUCCCGCCGAGAUCA
rnacentral:tRNA from 1 species